rnacentral:rRNA from 1 species
GCUUACGGCCACACCACCCUGAGCACGCCCGCUCUCGUCUGAUCUCGGAAGCCAAGGAGGGUCGGGCCUGGUUAGUACUUGGAUGGGAGACCGCCUGGGAAUACCAGGUGCUGUAAGCAU